rnacentral:rRNA from 1 species
UACGGAGGGUGCGAGCGUUGUCCGGAUUUAUUGGGUUUAAAGGGUGCGUAGGCGGGUGUUUAAGUCAGUGGUGAAAUACAGCUGCUCAACAGUUGAUGUGCCAUUGAUACUGAAUAUCUUGAAUUAAUUGGAGGCUGCCGGAACGGAUGGUGUAGCGGUGAAAUGCAUAGAUAUCAUCCAGAACCCCUAUUGCGAAGGCAGGUGGCUACGAUUAGAUUGACGCUGAGGCACGAAAGUAUGGGGAGCAAAC